rnacentral:rRNA from 1 species
GACGAACGCUGGCGGCGUGCUUAACACAUGCAAGUCGAACGGAAAGGCCCUGCUUUUGUGGGGUGCUCGAGUGGCGAACGGGUGAGUAACACGUGAGUAACCUGCCCUUGACUUUGGGAUAACUUCAGGAAACUGGGGCUAAUACCGGAUAGGAGCUCCUGCUGCAUGGUGGGGGUUGGAAAGUUUCGGCGGUUGGGGAUGGACUCGCGGCUUAUCAGCUUGUUGGUGGGGUAGUGGCUUACCAAGGCUUUGACGGGUAGCCGGCCUGAGAGGGUGACCGGCCACAUUGGGACUGAGAUCCGGCCCAGACUCCUACGGGAGGCAGCAGUGGGGAAUAUUGCACAAUGGGCGGAAGCCUGAUGCAGCAACGCCGCGUGCGGGAUGUCGGCCUUCGGGUUGUAAACCGCUUUCGCCUGUGACGAAGCGUGAGUGACGGUAAUGGGUAAAGAAGCACCGGCUAACUACGUG